rnacentral:lncRNA from 1 species
AAUUAGAGUUCUGGGGGGUUUCUGAACCAACUUAGUCACUUGGAGCUCAUCAUUAGACUGUUAGUACCUUUCAUAAUUAUGACCUUUGAGGAGAGGCUUCUGAUCUGUUGCCACUGGAAUAAGAGUGUUUUUUUCUCUCUCUCUCUCUUUACAGUACUGUUCAGAAUAACCACAGAAUUUUUUUUAGAUCAAUUGUAUUCUAGGUAUUUCAAGAAGAAAUAUUUUUAAUUUUAACCACAAAUUGGUGAUUCUUUUCUCUCCUUGCUUCUCCCUUCUUCCCUCUUUCCUUUCUUCUCGUCUUCCCCUCAUUUUUUUCUUUCUUUCUUCCUCUUCCAACUCUCUCUUUUUCUAUCUCCCCCUAGAAGUAUUUUAGCCUCCAGGAUUAUACUACUAUGCUAAGGUAGUACACCUUAAUUCUGCAAACACUACUGGAAAAUUCUCACCCACAGCUCUGUUCUCUGUCACUUGACUACAGUUCCAAAACCUUAGCUUGCACAUUUCUAAUUUGUAUGUCUGCAUGCCU